UACGGAGGGUGCGAGCGUUGUUCGGAAUCACUGGGCGUAAAGGGCGCGUAGGUGGCCCGGUCAGUUCGUGGUGAAAGCGCGGGGCUCAACCCUGCGUCGGCCAUGAAUACUGCCGCGGCUGGAGCACUGUAGAGGCAGGCGGAAUUCCGGGUGUAGCGGUGGAAUGCGUAGAGAUCCGGAAGAACACCGGUGGCGAAGGCGGCCUGCUGGGCAGUUGCUGACACUGAGGCGCGACAGCGUGGGGAGCGAACAGG
rnacentral:rRNA from 1 species